AUUCAUCUGACGAGUCCGAAAUAGGGCAAAACGUGCGUGAAACUGGAU
rfam:Schistosoma rodhaini strain Burundi genome assembly, scaffold: SROB_scaffold0001231